rnacentral:rRNA from 1 species
GAUGAACGCUGGCGGCGUGCCUAAUACAUGCAAGUCGAGCGAACGGACGAGAAGCUUGCUUCUCUGAUGUUAGCGGCGGACGGGUGAGUAACACGUGGAUAACCUACCUAUAAGACUGGGAUAACUUCGGGAAACCGGAGCUAAUACCGGAUGAUAUUUUGAACCGCAUGGUUCAAAAGUGAAAGGCGGUCUUGCUGUCACUUAUAGAUGGAUCCGCGCUGCAUUAGCUAGUUGGUAAGGUAACGGCUUACCAAGGCAACGAUGCAUAGCCGACCUGAGAGGGUGAUCGGCCACACUGGAACUGAGACACGGUCCAGACUCCUACGGGAGGCAGCAGUAGGGAAUCUUCCGCAAUGGGCGAAAGCCUGACGGAGCAACGCCGCGUGAGUGAUGAAGGUCUUCGGAUCGUAAAACUCUGUUAUUAGGGAAGAACAUAUGUGUAAGUAACUGUGCACAUCUUGACGGUACCUAAUCAGAAAGCCACGGCUAACUACGU